GACGAAGGGGCUAGCGUUGUUCGGAAUUACUGGGCGUAAAGCGCGUGUAGGCGGUUGUUCAAGUCAGGUGUGAAAGCCUUGAGCUCAACUCAAGAAAUGCACUUUGAUACUGGAUGACUAGAGGACCGGAGAGGAUAGUGGAAUUCCCAGUGUAGUGGUGGAAAUACGUAGAGAUUGGGAAGAACACCAGUGGCGAAGGCGGCUAUCUGGACGGUUUCUGACGCUAAGACGCGAAAGCGUGGGGAGCAAACAGG
rnacentral:rRNA from 1 species